AUGUAGUCUGGAUAAAGAAGUUACGUAUACAUUUGUCUCAAAUAUAAUUAAUAUAACUUAAUAAAGAAGUGAAAAUACUUCUAAUUUUAAUAAAAGACGAGAAGACCCUUAGAAUUUUAACUAUAAAUAAAUUCUUAUUUAUUUCGUUUUAGUUGGGGCAACUCUAUUACAAAGUAAUAAAUAGUUAAAUAGUUAUAUAGGGCGAUUUAAUAAGUAAAAAUAAAUUACCUAAGGGAUAACAGCAUAAUUUUAAAAGAAAGUUUGUGACCUCGAUGUUGGACAC
rnacentral:rRNA from 1 species